UCAAAUUCUCAACUUCUCUAUAUAGUAAAGGAAACUCAAGCUUUCAUCUCUCGUCACAGCCAAAGAAAAUAUGUUUCAGAUUACCAAAAUUUAGUAAACUUCUCUCUAUUUGUAAAAUCGCUUUCUAGUUUAUCUUUAUCCAAAAGUUUUUGAAAAUAGCAAAGUUCAGUAAAGUACCUUCUCUUAUUAUGUAAAAUCGCUCUGCAAAUUAGAUCGUCGUCGAUGGCCUGAAGGUGAAGAGUACUCUAUUUCAAAGGGAGACGUAUAGUUAAAAGGGCCAAAAAUAGCCAAACCAUCUCUCCAGUAUUUUUUGGUCGCGAAUCCAUUCGAGCUCCUUUUCUCUCUAAAGCCUCAAAUUAAUAUACAGAGCGGUGUUUCACACGAUAUUCGACUGGGAAAAGACAUGUCUGUAAGUGCAUCAGAGGUCUGUCGGUGACACGAUGUUAUGGAGUGGAUCAGAGCUCUGUCGGUGACAUGAUGCUGUGGAGAGUCCCAGACGUCUGAGGAGCUGACGUGGCAGAGAAUGCUGAGAUGGAGUGAAACUUGUAUCUUUCUUGGUGUGUGAAAUGGAAUGUGAAUGAAUGAUAUGGUGAUGAACAAUGGUGAAAGCAAGGUGUUUCAAUUCCCCUUA